CGUAAUCACAACAAAAAAAACCAAAAAUUCUUUCAAAUUCAUUAGUAUCCACUUAAACAAGUAAUUAAACACCUUUCAACAUGCAUUAGCAGAAUGCGCCUUUCUUUUGUUUACAAUUUGGUUGUCAACCGCACUACAGCUGAUCGUUUGUCGCACUUACCAGAAUUUAGCAGCAAAAAAUCUUCGGACUCAAACUGGUAACUUCUGAGAGAGACAACCGUAUUUACACCCUUUUUUGUUUUCUCAAUAGUCAGAGAACCGAGUACUGGAUCGGUUUCCAGUAAAAUCUGACUAAUUCUGAUUAGUCCGGACUCAUACGGGAUC